rnacentral:rRNA from 1 species
UACGAAGGGGGCGAGCGUUGUUCGGAUUUACUGGGCGUAAAGGGCGCGCAGGCGGCUAUCCAAGUCAGGCGUGAAAGCCCCGGGCUUAACCUGGGAGGUGCGUCUGGGACUGGGUGGCUAGAGUUCGGGAGAGGAGAGUGGAAUUCCCAGUGUAGAGGUGAAAUUCGUAGAUAUUGGGAAGAACACCUGUGGCGAAGGCGGCUCUCUGGACCGAGACUGACGCUGAGGCGCGAAAGCCAGGGGAGCAAACGGG